CCUGAUGCAGCAACGCCGCGUGAGGGAUGACGGCCUUCGGGUUGUAAACCUCUUUUAGCAAGGAAGAAGCUUUCGGGUGACGGUACUUGCAGAAAAAGCGCCGGCUAACUACGUGCCAGCAGCCGCGGUAAUACGUAGGGCGCAAGCGUUAUCCGGAAUUAUUGGGCGUAAAGAGCUCGUAGGCGGUUUGUCGCGUCUGCUGUGAAAUCCCGAGGCUCAACCUCGGGCCUGCAGUGGGUACGGGCAGACUAGAGUGCGGUAGGGGAGAUUGGAAUUCCUGGUGUAGCGGUGGAAUGCGCAGAUAUCAGGAGGAACACCGAUGGCGAAGGCAGAUCUCUGGGCCGUAACUGACGCUGAGGAGCGAAAGGGUGGGGAGCAAACAGGCUUAGAUACCCUGGUAGUCCACCCCGUAAACGUUGGGAACUAGUUGUGGGGUCCUUUCCACGGAUUCCGUGACGCAGCUAACGCAUUAAGUUCCCCGCCUGGGGAGUACGGCCGCAAGGCUAAAACUCAAAGGAAUUGACGGGGACCCGCACAAGCGGCGGAGCAUGCGGAUUAAUUCGAUGCAACGCGAAGAACCUUACCAAGGCUUGACAUACACCAGAACAUCCCAGAAAUGGGGGACUCUUUGGACAC
rnacentral:rRNA from 1 species